GACGAACGCUGGCGGCGUGCUUAACACAUGCAAGUCGAACGGAAAGGCCCUGCUUUUGUGGGGUGCUCGAGUGGCGAACGGGUGAGUAACACGUGCGUAACCUGCCCUUGACUUUGGGAUAACUUCAGGAAACUGGGGCUAAUACCGGAUAGGAGCUCCUGCUGCAUGGUGGGGGUUGGAACGUUUGGGCGGUUGGGGAUGGACGCGCGGCUUAUCAGCUUGUUGGUGGGGUAGUGGCGUACCAAGGCUUUGACGGGUAGCCGGCCUGAGCGGGUGACCGGCGACAUUGGGACUGAGAUACGGCGCAGACUCCUACGGGAGGCAGCAGUGGGGAAUAUUGCACAAUGGGCGGAAGCCUGAUGCAGCAACGCCGCGUGCGGGAGGACGGCCUUCGGGUUGUAAACCGCUUUCGCCUGUGACGAAGCGUGAGUGACGGUAAUGGGUAAAGAAGCACCGGCUAACUACGUG
rnacentral:rRNA from 1 species